rnacentral:rRNA from 1 species
GACGAACGCUGGCGGCGUGCUUAACACGUGCAAGUCGAACGGAAAGGCCCUGCUUUUGUGGGGUGCUCGAGUGGCGAACGGGUGAGUAACACGUGAGUAACCUGCCCUUGACUUUGGGAUAACUUCAGGAAACUGGGGCUAAUACCGGAUAGGAGCUCCUGCUGCAUGGUGGGGGUUGGAAAGUUUCGGCGGUUGGGGAUGGACUCGCGGCUUAUCAGCUUGUUGGUGGGGUAGUGGCUUACCAAGGCUUUGACGGGUAGCCGGCCUGAGAGGGUGACCGGCCACAUUGGGACUGAGAUACGGCCCAGACUCCUACGGGAGGCAGCAGUGGGGAAUAUUGCACAAUGGGCGGAAGCCUGAUGCAGCAACGCCGCGUGCAGGAUGACGGCCUUCGGGUUGUAAACCGCUUUCGCCUGUGACGAAGCGUGAGUGACGGUAAUGGGUAAAGAAGCACCGGCUAACUACGUG